rnacentral:lncRNA from 1 species
AAUGAUCCCCCCUCCCACUGACCCUCUCUGUCUCUGCAGAUUCGUGGGAUAUCUUCUCCCAACUGCAAGAGGUUACAGAGGAGAUCUCAUCUGCAGAGGAGAAGUAAAAGGCAGAGGAAUCCUUCUCUUCAAAUCAGGAACUAUAGCAUGAUGGCCAGUCUCCUGUGUCAGCUUGGCUCGGCCAUUCACCCACUGUGUGAUCACUCCCUCUUCAGGGUGUUGCUGUGAGGGUAGUCUGUACAUGUAUGUAGCUGAUACCUAAGAUCAGUUUAAGGUCAGGGGUCACCCUCAGUGUGCGUGGGCUGCACCCAAUCAUUGACAGGAUACUACAGCCCCAGUGCACACCUAUGCUGAGCCUACAAUCAUGCAAUAGCUCCCCAAACCAGUUACACACACAUGCAUGGAAGGCAUGUGUAGACACACACACACAAUCACGUCACAUAUGCAUGAAAAGACUAAGUUCCUAUUUUAAUUCUCCAAGAUAAAAAUUUCUUUUGCUCUCCUCACUCAUGAACAGUAAGAAUUUCUCUUCUCUAAACACAUCUUCUUUC